rnacentral:rRNA from 1 species
GUCAUGAGCAAGGUAUUAACUUUACUCCCUUCCUCCCCGCUGAAAGUACUUUACAACCCGAAGGCCUUCUUCAUACACGCGGCAUGGCUGCAUCAGGCUUGCGCCCAUUGUGCAAUAUUCCCCACUGCUGCCUCCCGUAGGAGUAAGACAAGGCCACGGGGCCAAAAGGCUGAACCGACAGCGCCGAGAAAGCAUCAAGGUUUCCAGAUCCUUAAUUUUUUAGGAAAGAAAAAGGAAAAAAAUUUUAACCUUUCUCCUUUGAGUCCCCAAGAAAAACUCACUCCUUUUUCCCUCCCCCGAUAAAAAAAAAA